UUGAACAUGCGAUAAGACGACAUAUAUAUUAAAAAGCGCAUUGUCAGCAUGUGUAACAUACGCCGUAUACAUAGUUUUUAUCUGAGUAUUCGUUCGAAGAACGGUUCAGGUUUUCGCAUGGCAUGUGCUGCCCCACAACAGUAUCAAUGAAAUAUGAACGUUGACAUUAUCAGUUUCGUCCUGCCAUCUCUUCUUUGGUCUACCUCGACAACUACGAGCAUUGUCAGGGCUCCACAAAGUAGCAGUCUUGGCCCAAAACUCGUCAGGCAUAUGACAAUUACCUGCCCAACGCUGAUGGCCUUGUAAGCGACCUGCCCUAUGAGCCACGUCCAGACCAUAUGCAGCGCCAGCAGCAGACACAGCAGCGAGUUGAAGAUGUAGUACGCGGGGAACAUCGGCAAGAGCAUCGGCG